ACUCAAAGGAAUAGACGGGGACCUGCACAAGCGGUGGAGCAUGCGGUUUAAUUCGAUGAUACGCGAAAAACCUUACCAAUUCUUGACAUAUACACUAUGAUUGCCAGAGAUGGCGUCUUCAGUUCGGCUGGGUGUAAACAGGUGUUGCAUGGCCGUCGUCAGCUCGUGUCGUGAGAUGUUGGGUUAAGUCCCGCAACGAGCGCAACCCCUACCUCAUUUUGCCAACGGGUUAUGCUGGGAACUAUUGAGGGACUGCUGGUGUUAAACCAGAGGAAGGUGGGGAUGACGUCAGGUCAUCACGGCCCUUAUGAAUUGGGCUACACGCGUGCUACAAUGGUAUUUACAAAGAGUUGCGAUACCGCAAGGUGGAGCUAAUCUCAAAAAGAAUAUCUCAGUUCGGAUUGGACUCUGAAACUCGAGUCCAUGAAGCUGGAAUCGCUAGUAAUCGUGGGUCAGCAUACCACGGUGAAUACGUUCUCAGGUCUUGUACACACCGCCCGU
rnacentral:rRNA from 1 species